AGAACACUCUCCUUGUACUCAGCCGACUGUUCAUCGAAAAGCUCCCAGCAAACAAAUGACACGACACGGACAGUCUUCCCCUCCUUCCUCAACUCAUCAGCAGCCUUGGCGACAAUCUCUAGUUCAGAGCCAGUGCUCAUCACAAUGAAGUCAGGCUUGUUGCCAGUUGAGUUGUCAGAGACGAUGUACCCACCCUUCUCAACACCCUCAAUCGAGGUACCAGGCAGCUGAGCAAGCUUUUGCCUGGAGAGAGCAAGGACGGAUGGCCUCUUCCUGUUG
rnacentral:misc_RNA from 1 species